rnacentral:rRNA from 1 species
UACGAAGGGGGCUAGCGUUGUUCGGAAUUACUGGGCGUAAAGGGCGCGUAGGCGGUCCUGAUCGUCGGAUGUGAAAGGCCUGGGCUCAACCUGGGAAUGGCAUCCGAUACGGCGGGACUGGAGUGUGGGAGAGGUUGGUGGAAUUCCCAGUGUAGAGGUGAAAUUCGUAGAUAUUGGGAAGAACACCGGUGGCGAAGGCAGCUCGCUGGGACGUUAUUGACGCUGAGACGCGAAAGCGUGGGGAGCAAACAGGG